rnacentral:rRNA from 1 species
GGAAACGACUGCUAAUACCGCAUAAUGUCUACGGACCAAAGGGGGCUUCGGCUCUCGCCUUUAGAUUGGCCCAAGUGGGAUUAGCUAGUUGGUGAGGUAAUGGCUCACCAAGGCGACGAUCCCUAGCUGGUUUGAGAGGAUGAUCAGCCACACUGGGACUGAGACACGGCCCAGACUCCUACGGGAGGCAGCAGUGGGGAAUAUUGCACAAUGGGCGCAAGCCUGAUGCAGCCAUGCCGCGUGUGUGAAGAAGGCCUUCGGGUUGUAAAGCACUUUCAGUCAGGAGGAAAGGGUGGUGGUUAAUACCCGUCAUGUGUGACGUUACUGACAGAAGAAGCACCGGCUAACUCCGUGCCAGCAGCCGCGGUAAUACGGAGGGUGCGAGCGUUAAUCGGAAUUACUGGGCGUAAAGCGUACGCAGGCGGUUU